UGGUGGAUCACUUCCCGCCAAUCAAGGACGCCAUGUAAAAGGAACACAUCAGUAACCGUGCAGACGCUGGACGGGAAGGAUGCGCCAUAUGGGAAGGACGUCCAGUAGCGGUCAACCCUGCUCAAGCCAGCAAGAAGCCCCGGCGUCUGGUGUCCCCACUGACUGGCCCCCUGUGACACUGGGGACGUGCAUAGAGCAUGUGUGUGUGUGUGUAUGCGCUCGGCCGGCACAGGCAUUGGUGAGAGGCCAGCCACAUUCCACCCUUCAAGCAGGGACGACAAGUGUUCAGGUGACAGCUGGUGUGGUGACAGACCACCACAACACUGAUGAGCUGAUAUGCAGACGAGCUGGCGGCAGACUGACGCGCGGCAGGGGUGGCCAAAUAUAACUCCCCAACGCGCGUUCAUGUGAAAGGCGUGAGGCUCCCCUCAUACGGAUAUUUUUUUAUUUAUAUUUUCUCGCUCUCCCAUUCGCUUCACAACUGCAGCAGAACACAGAACGCACAGAACACCACACGGGACAGCAUCAUCGUGCCCCGUCACAGGUGAAGCACGCAUAAAAGAAAACCUGGCGUGUGAAGCUUUUAAAUCUACAAGACUAACUGGCUACCGAAGCAGUUGUUUAUUCUCCGCCCAGUGAAAAGACUACCAUGGGAAAAUUAGACCCUUUGUACAGCGAAGGUACUGAUGAUGAUAAUAUUUACUUCACUAAAAUGCCAUACAUAUCUUUACUACUCUGCUAAAGAUAUACACGUGAGAGAAUUUUUUUUUCUAUAUCAUUUCAUUUAUCAUUGCUUGUGCUUCUAAAUCCCUUUUGUGCUUGGUGGCGACGAUGCAGCCUGAGAGAGAGAGAGAGAGAGAGAGAGAGAGAGAGAGAGAGAGAGAGAGAGAGAGAGAGAGGAAGGAAGCCAUCUUUUCUCUUUCACCGUAUUCCAUCUCAAUAUAUUUACUUAAUGGGUUACCUCUCUCUCUCUCUCUCUCUCUCUCUCUCUCUCUCUCUCUCUCUCUCUCUCUCUCUCUCUCUCUCUCUCUCUCUCGUGGUAGCGUCUCAAUAUGCGCGAAGGCUGACACUUAUUGUUCCGGAGAGAGAGAGAGAGAGAGAGAGAGAGAGAGAGAGAGAGAGAGAGAGAGAGAGAGAUCGUUAAGGUACAAACAAAUCACUCUUACUUUCUCACACACUGAUCUACUUUCUUUCUUAUACUUUAUUAUUUUUUUAUCACUUUUACUUUGUUAUCUUACUUUCGUUGCCUCUUAUUAACCAUUAUAAGACUUCAUUUCACUUUAAUUAACUACUUGCCUGUCUUAUUACUAGGUUAAUGGGAUCAUGUUCUAUUUUAUAUUUUUGUGGAUUAACUGAAUAUUCUUAGUUUAUUAUUAUUAUUAUUAUUAUUAUUAUUAUUAUUAUUAUUAGUAGUAGUAGUAGUAGUAGUAGUAGUAGUAGUAGUAGUAGUAGUAGUAGAUUUUUUCUUGUUUUCUUUUGUGAUUUUCUUUUCUCUUGUUUCUUUUAAAUUUUUUUCUCUUCUCUUUCUCGAUUGAUCGCUUUGUUUACUUGGAACUUGAAACACCUCACUCACUCACUCACUCACUCACUCACUCACCCAUCCAUCGCUCCCUCGCUUAUUUCCUCCCUCAUCCAAUCCUUCCCUUCCCUUCCUCAUUCACUCUUAUCCACUCCCUUACUCUCCACCCCUCUCUCUUUCCCUCACUCCUUAAUUCUUCCCUUCAUUUCCUCCCUCCAUUACACUCUCCUUCACUCCCUCCCUCUCAUUCUCCCCUUAGAUCCUUCCUUUCCUCAUUCACUCUCCCUCUCUUCCCUCACUCUGGCUCAGUUUCAUAAUAAGAGGAAGGAAUAAUCUGACGAAGGCUCUAUUAAAAAAGGGAAAGAUUACAGUCCUGCAGGAGAGAGAGAGAGAGAGAGAGAGAGAGAGAGAGAGAGAGAGAGAGAGAGAGAGAGAGAGAGAGAAUCACAACACCCGCCACCACCAUCAUCAUCUUUAUACCACCAACAUCAACAGCAACACUACCACCUACUACUAUCAUCCUUGUACAACCACCACCACCCCCAACAACAACAACGACAACAACAAAAGUAACAGCAGCAGCAGUAAUAGGUUCAAAAUAUGUAAUGCCUUCACAGUAACAGCAUCACCACCACCACCAACACACAUACAGCAAAUCAGACAGACACUCUCCAACGCGAUGGCACCAUAACACCACAACACCACACAUACGCUGCGCCAUGUUUCCCGGCCCCGGCUGGACGCUGGAAAAAGGGGAAAAAAAGAGAGAAAGGUGGAAAGAAAAAAAAAUUAGAGGAUGAAACAGUAGAGUAAGGGAGAGAUUUAAAGUAAGGUAAUUUUUCUCGCACCUGUCCUUCCUUGCCUGUGAAAUCUGAUUGUUUUAAUCUUACACACACACACACACACACAGAGAGAGAGAGAGAGAGAGAGAGAGAGAGAGAGAGAGAGAAGGUGAUAAACGUGACGAUCUAAAUUUUAAAGUUCUGUUACUACCUAUAAGAGAGAGAGAGAGAGAGAGAGAGAGAGAGAGAGAGAGAGUUGUAAACGGGCUUGUUUAUAUUAUUAAUUUUUUGUGUGUAGAAUUAGAAUAAAUUUAGUGGAAAACUGUCUUGCUAAGUGGUGUGUGUGUGUGUGUGUGUGUGUGUGUGUGUGUGUGUGUGUGUGUGUGUGUGUGUGUGUGUGUGUGUGUGUGUGUGU